CAUGCAGUCGAGCGGAACGAGUUAUCUGAACCUUCGGGGAACGAUAACGGCGUCGAGCGGCGGACGGGUGAGUAAUGCCUGGGAAAUUGCCCUGAUGUGGGGGAUAACCAUUGGAAACGAUGGCUAAUACCGCAUAAUAGCUUCGGCUCAAAGAGGGGGACCUUCGGGCCUCUCGCGUCAGGAUAUGCCCAGGUGGGAUUAGCUAGUUGGUGAGGUAAUGGCUCACCAAGGCGACGAUCCCUAGCUGGUCUGAGAGGAUGAUCAGCCACACUGGAACUGAGACACGGUCCAGACUCCUACGGGAGGCAGCAGUGGGGAAUAUUGCACAAUGGGCGCAAGCCUGAUGCAGCCAUGCCGCGUGUAUGAAGAAGGCCUUCGGGUUGUAAAGUACUUUCAGCAGUGAGGAAGGUKSAUGYGUUAAUAGCGCAUGGAUUUGACGUUAGCUGCAGAAGAAGCACCGGCUAACUCCGUGCCAGCAGCCGCGGUAAUACGGAGGGUGCGAGCGUUAAUCGGAAUUACUGGGCGUAAAGCGCAUGCAGGUGGUUUGUUAAGUCAGAUGUGAAAGCCCGGGGCUCAACCUCGGAAUAGCAUUUGAAACUGGCAGACUAGAGUACUGUAGAGGGGGGUAGAAUUUCAGGUGUAGCGGUGAAAUGCGUAGAGAUCUGAAGGAAUACCGGU
rnacentral:rRNA from 1 species